rnacentral:rRNA from 1 species
GGGGCCCGCACAAGCAGCGGAGCGUGUGGUUAAUUCGAUGCAACACGAAGAACCUUACCAAGGCUUGACAUGACAGAAGUAGGAAUCCCGAAAGGAAGACGACCUGUAUCCAAUCAGGAGCUGCCACAGGUGCUGCAUGGCUGUCGUCAGCUCGUGCCGUGAGGUGUUGGGUUAAGUCCCGCAACGAGCGCAACCCUCGUCGUUAGUUAAUUUCUCUAACGAGACUGCCCCGCAUAACGGGGAGGAAGGUGGGAUGACGUCAAGUCAGCAUGGCCUUUAUGUCUUGGGCAACACACACGCUACAAUGGAUGGUACAAAGAGUCGCUAAGGAGCAAUCCGGAGCUAAUCUCAAAAAACUAUCCUCAGUUCGGAUUGCAGGCUGAAACCGCCUGCAUGAAGGCGGAGUUGCUAGUAACCGCAGGUCAGCAUACUGCGGUGAAUACGUUCUCGGGCCUU